AUUGAACGCUGGCGGCAGGCCUAACACAUGCAAGUCGAGCGAGCGGCGAACAGUUGAGUAAUGGCUGGGAAAAUGCCUGAUGGCUGGGGAUAACUGCUGGAAACGGUCGCUAAUCCCGCAUUCCAUCAGAUGUCCCCAGUGGGGAUUAGCUAGUAGGUGGGGUAACGGCUCACCUAGGCGACGAUCCCUAGCUGGUCUGAGAGGAUGACCAGCCACACUGGAACUGAGACACGGCCCAGACUCCUACGGGAGGCAGCAGUGGGGAAUAUUGCACAAUGGGCGAAAGUCUGAUGGAGCCAUGCCGCGUGAGUGAAGAAGGCUUUCGGGUUGUAAAGCACUGUUGUCAGGGAGGCGUUACCUACAGAGGAAGCACCGGCUAACUCCGUGCCAGCAGCCGCGGUAAUAC
rnacentral:rRNA from 1 species